rnacentral:rRNA from 1 species
UACGGAAGGCAGCAGGGGGGAAUAUUGCACAAUGGGCGCAAGCCUGAUGCAGCCAUGCCGCGUGUAUGAAGAAGGCCUUCGGGUUGUAAAGUACUUUCAGUCGUGAGGAAGGUGUUAAGGUUAAUAACCUUAGCAAUUGACGUUAGCGACAGAAGAAGCACCGGCUAACUCCGUGCCAGCAGCCGCGGUAAUACGGAGGGUGCGAGCGUUAAUCGGAAUUACUGGGCGUAAAGGGCACGCAGGCGGUUAAUUAAGUUGGAUGUGAAAUCCCCGGGCUUAACCUGGGAAUGGCAUUCAAGACUGGUUAGCUAGAGUCUUGUAGAGGGGGUAGAAUUCCAUGUGUAGCGGUGAAAUGCGUAGAGAUGUGGAGGAAUACCGGUGGCGAAGGCGGCCCCUGGACAAAGACUGACGCUCAUGUGCGAAAGCGUGGGGAGCAAACAGGGAUUAGAUACCCG